UGGGGAAUUUUGGACAAUGGGCGAAAGCCUGAUCCAGCAAUGCCGCGUGUGUGAAGAAGGCCUUCGGGUUGUAAAGCACUUUUGUCCGGAAAGAAAUCCUUGGCUCUAAUACAGUCGGGGGAUGACGGUACCGGAAGAAUAAGCACCGGCUAACUACGUGCCAGCAGCCGCGGUAAUACGUAGGGUGCAAGCGUUAAUCGGAAUUACUGGGCGUAAAGCGUGCGCAGGCGGUUUGCUAAGACCGAUGUGAAAUCCCCGGGCUCAACCUGGGAACUGCAUUGGUGACUGGCAGGCUAGAGUAUGGCAGAGGGGGGUAGAAUUCCACGUGUAGCAGUGAAAUGCGUAGAGAUGUGGAGGAAUACCGAUGGCGAAGGCAGCCCCCUGGGCCAAUACUGACGCUCAUGCACGAAAGCGUGGGGAGCAAACAGGAUUAGAUACCCUAGUAGUCCACGCCCUAAACGAUGUCAACUAGUUGUUGGGGAUUCAUUUCCUUAGUAACGUAGCUAACGCGUGAAGUUGACCGCCUGGGGAGUACGGUCGCAAGAUUAAAACUUAAAUGAAUUGACGGGGUCAUAGCUGUUUCCU
rnacentral:rRNA from 1 species